UACAGAGGGGGCAAGCGUUGUUCGGAAUUACUGGGCGUAAAGGGCGCGUAGGCGGCCUUCUAAGUCGAACGUGAAAUCCCCGGGCUCAACCCGGGAACUGCGUCCGAUACUGGAAGGCUUGAAUCCGGGAGAGGGAUGCGGAAUUCCAGGUGUAGCGGUGAAAUGCGUAGAUAUCUGGAGGAACACCGGUGGCGAAGGCGGCGUUCUGGACUGUCUCUGACACUGAAGAACGAAAGCCAGGGGAGCAAACGGG
rnacentral:rRNA from 1 species